GCGUUUUAUUAUUGAUGAUGUCCUAGCGGCCAUAACAAUACUUUGUAUUACUCAUAGAUUUGUAAAGGAUAAAAGCGGUCCUUGGUCACCGUGUGCUAUUGUAAUGUGAAUUACGGUGUGAACAUCUGAAAUGAGAACGACAAUGUUAAAAACUGUGGUGCUGCUAUUGCUGGCCAACGUUGCCAUGUCUACAAACUGGUGGAGCCCGAGGAGAGGACUUUGUACGGGUCCUCCAGAUUCCGGACCUUGCUAUGCAAACAUGAGACGUUUUUACUAUGUUGCGGGAUUCUGUUCUCCGUUUACGUAUGGCGGAUGCGCAGGCAACGCAAACAAUCACGAGAGUUGGAUAGAAUGCAUGCAGACGUGCUUUUUCCGGGGACCAAUAGGACUGAGGUACUAACAACACUGAACUUUAUCGGAUAUGGAUUCAAAACAAUUCAUCAAAUAAAUAGCAAUGUUAAAACUAUUUUCACGUCAAUAAUAUACACUGUACAUUUUUUUGGUCUUUUCUGCAAUAAAACAAUUCCUGAAAC